AUGGGGAAGGUGGUGGUCGCAGAGGCCACGGCGCGGCAGGUGGCGGCCUUCGUCGUCGGCGCCGUGGCCGCGCUCACCGUCGUCAUGCUCGUCCAGUACCGAGCGCCGGCCGCGGGGCUCAGCCGCGCCAGGACGCCGGGACACUUCUCUGGCUUGAGGUCAUCAUCCGACGACCAGCACCACCGCCCCAACGGGACAACAGCGCGUGCUCAUGUUCAUCAGGCGCCGCCGGUCGCCGGUGGUCCAGGCCGAGACGAUGAUCAUCACCUUCACCGUCCGGCGAACGCCACAACAAUCACAAAGCCCAAUUCUACCUCGACCCAUGCUGCUCCAAGUCAUCUUUCCAGCACACAUCGCCGUCGACAAAAGGGACCGAAGGAGGAGUCGGCGGAGUUCCGGGGGCUGGCGGCCGCGGUGGCGCGGGCGGCGACGGACGACCGGACGGUGAUCAUCACGUGCGUGAACCAGGCAUGGGCGGCGCCCGGCUCCUUGCUGGACCUGUUCCUGGAGAGCUUCCGCAUCGGCGACGGCACGGCUCGCCUCCUCCCUCACGUCUUGGUCGUCGCCAUGGACCCAGGCGCCCAUUCGCGGUGCCUCGCCGUGCACCAGCAUUGCUACCACUACACCAUCCCGGGUCUCAACAUCGACUUCGCCGCACUAAAGUACUUCCUCUCCAAGGACUACCUGGAGCUGGUGUGGAGCAAGCUGAAGCUGCAGCGCCGCAUCCUGGAGCUCGGCUACGGCUUCCUCUUCACCGACGUCGACAUCAUGUGGCUGCGCGACCCGUUCAAGCACGUGACGGCGUACGCCGACAUGACGGUGUCAAGCGACGUGUACUUCGGCGACCCGGACAACCUGGACAACUUCCCCAACACGGGGUUCUUCCACGUGAAGCCCAACGCGCGGACCAUCGCCAUGACAAAGCUGUGGCACGGGGCCAGGGGCAAGUACCCGGGCGCCAACGAGCAGCCGGUGUUCAACAUGAUGAAGAAGCGGAUGGUGAAGAAGCUGGGGCUCCGGGUGCAGUACCUGGACCCGGUCUAUGUGGGCGGAUUUUGCAGGUAUGGUAAGGAUUUGGGGAAGAUCGUUACCAUGCAUGCAAACUGCUGUGUGGGGAUUGAUAACAAAAUUAGAGAUUUGAAGGGUGUUCUUGAUGACUGGAAGAACUAUACCAGGUUGCCGCAUUGGGAGAAGCACCGGGCCAAGUGGACCGUGCCCGGUGCCUGCAUCCGCGCUGAGAAACAAGCUUGA
rnacentral:rRNA from 1 species